rnacentral:lncRNA from 1 species
GAUCGUCAAUGUGUGGUACUCUGUGAACGGUGAGAGGCUGGGCACCCACGUGGACCAUACAGCAGCUGUGUGCUGCAUGGACAGUGACUGGGACACCAAGCAUGUCCUCCCUGGCUCAGCUGACAACAGCUGUCGUCUCUGGGACAGGGAAGCAGUUGGCCCUACUCAAAACUGAUUUAGCUGUCCAGACCUGUGGCAAGGACUUUGGGAACAAUAUCACUAUAUUCUCUACAGACAAGUAGAUGGGCUACCAGUGCUUUGUGAGCUUCUUUUAUCUGCAGGACCUAAGGCAGAUUGACAGCAAUGAGACAUACAUGAAAAUCCUUUACAAUGACUAUAAUAUCACUAGUGCUUUUUGAGGACCCCCCAGGGGAGUGCAUCAUCACAGACCAUAAGAGUGGAGUGUCCAACCAGUAUAAUGCCACAUCUGGAGAGGUAUUGGUGAGUGUUAAAUAGCACUCCCAGAAGAUCAGUAACAUCAAGUUAUCCAAGGACAUAAUCAUGUUUGUCACUGCAACCAAGGACAACACAGCCAAGUUCUUUGAUUCUACAACUCUUGAACAUCAAGAGACUUUCUGGACAGAACAUCUCAUCAACUCAGACGCCCUUUCCCCAGUUAUAAUGACCAUGUGAUACUGGGUGACAGAGAGAAAGCCAUGGAUGUAACCACAACCUCCAACAGGACUGGCAGGUUUGAGCCCAGGUUCUUCCAUUUGGCCUUUGAAAAAUAGUUUGGAAGAGUCAAGAGUUACUUCACAACUGUCAACAGGGUUGCCUUCCCUUCAAAUGGCAAGAGUUACAGCAGCGGCGGUGAAGAUGGUUAUGUCCAUAUUCACUGUUUAGGCCCACAGUACUUGGAAUUUGAGCUUGAGGA